UACGAAGGGGGCUAGCGUUGCUCGGAAUCACUGGGCGUAAAGGGUGCGUAGGCGGGUUUUAAGUCAGGGGUGAAAUCCUGGAGCUCAACUCCAGAACUGCCUUUGAUACUGAAGAUCUUGAGUUCGGGAGAGGUGAGUGGAACUGCGAGUGUAGAGGUGAAAUUCGUAGAUAUUCGCAAGAACACCAGUGGCGAAGGCGGCUCACUGGCCCGAUACUGACGCUGAGGCACGAAAGCGUGGGGAGCGAACAGG
rnacentral:rRNA from 1 species